GAAGAAGAAGAAGACUGCUGUUCAGAUGCAGCAGCUUAAUGUUUAUCGAAUUAUCUUCGUAACACAACACUAAAACAUUAUUUUAAUAUGUUCGCGUGUUAAGAGCAUCUUUACACUUCAGCUAUUCGUCAACAGAACGUAAUAAAGUUCACCAUCUGAAUGAAUGAAGGGCGUUUGAUCAACAGAUCCACAUUAAACACGAUCAGAGCUGGUAAUGUUCACAGACAUGGACUAUGAGCUGGAGGAGGACAAACUUGGGAUUCCCACAGUUCCUGGAACAGUGACUCUGAAGAAAGACUCCCAGAACCUGAUUGGGAUCAGUAUUGGGG